rnacentral:rRNA from 1 species
UACGUAGGGUGCAAGCGUUAAUCGGAAUUACUGGGCGUAAAGCGUGCGCAGGCGGUUGUGCAAGACAGAUGUGAAAUCCCCGGGCUCAACCUGGGAACUGCAUUUGUGACUGCACAGCUGGAGUGCGGCAGAGGGGAUGGAAUUCCGCGUGUAGCAGUGAAAUGCGUAGAUAUGCGGAGGAACACCGAUGGCGAAGGCAAUCCCCUGGGCCUGCACUGACGCUCAUGCACGAAGCGUGGGAGC